UACAGAGGGGGCAAGCGUUAUUCGGAAUUAUUGGGCGUAAAGGGCGCGUAGGCGGCUUUGCAAGUGGCGGGUGAAAUCCCUCGGCUUAACCGAGGAACUGCCUGCCAGACUGUGAGGCUUGAGACCGGGGAGAGGUGAGUGGAAUUCCCAGUGUAGCGGUGAAAAUGCGUAGAUAUUGGGAGGAACACCAGUGGCGAAGGCGGCUCACUGGACCGGAACUGACGCUGAGGCGCGAAAAGCGUGGGGGAGCAAAC
rnacentral:rRNA from 1 species